rnacentral:rRNA from 1 species
AAGGACGCGAUGCGCUGACUACAAUAGAGACUCCCCAACUCGCUUCCUACCGCCGGAGGCAGCCGUUGCGGGCGAGCAAGCGACGGCGGCAGCCGGAGCGAGGGAGCCCGCGGCGCCGUGACGGGUCGCUCCUUCGACCUACGCGCCGCCGCCGGCCGACCGUCUGCACGCCUCCCCGCCGACGGGCUCGCCUCCUCUUGUCCCGGACCCCUUGUCCCGGACGAUUCCCGCAACCCGAUCCCACGACCCCGAGCGCGCCGCCGCGUGCCGCCGUCCCCAGCCCACCCGCAGCGCGCCGCCCACGCAGGCGCGCGUCGCUAUUCCCAUCCCUAUCUCCGCGCAACACCACCCCCAGCCAGACCCGACCCAAUCACGUCGCCAUGGUGCGGUGUCUCCAUCUCCCGACGACGGAGCAGCACCUCCCCGACGGCGCGCCUACCACCGCCGACGAGGAACUCUGCCCCAAGCCUCGUCCCCUCUCCUCACGUCCGGAUGGGCAAGAUCCAGCCGGCGUUGAAGCCUAUCCCACCGGCGCAGCUCCCCAUCGCCAUUGCGCUGCUCCUUCCCCGCGUGUCUCCAGUUCCCCUUGCUGCUCGGAUUGGUGUGCCGCGGUGCCGCCACUCAGGUGUUUGCAGUAAUGCUUGAGCACAGCACCAGCAGUCGUCGCGGUCACUUCAUCCCUGAACUGCCACGCGCCGCCUGCGGCCUCGCUUCUUCCCCUGUCUUCUGCCUGGGCGAACCCCUUUUUCUCCUCCCAGGCACAGCUGCAACGUCCUUCUCAGUCCAAAUUGAGCAUUGGUUGUCGUACAAGUUGGAUCCCGGCUACAGUCUUCGCCAAAGAAGCCAUCAUCCCUGUUCUGAACUACCAACAGCCUCUGCUAAUGUGCGCAAAAUUCAAGGUUUGCCCCAUGUUUGCUCUGUUUCUGAAUUCGAGUAUGAUUAGGUAGUGUCAUUCGUUCCCCAUUACUUCUCUGAAUCUAAAGAGUUGAUCUAGUUUCAGGUGGAUGUUAUGGUUAUCAGUGAAAUGUGAAUUGCUAGGACUGUGUAGCAUGAUCUAGGAUAAAAUGUUUAUAUGCUAUUGUUGUGCUGAUUGUAAAUUACCCAACAAAAACAUUUUUUAUUCCCUGGAUGAAGAACAUUUUGUUCCCUAAGUGGAAAGAAUUUUUGUUCCCAUGAUAUGUACUACUGUUGGUAAAUGAGUCGAGAACUUUUUGUUACUCUACGUAGAAAUGUUUAUCACAUAGCCAGUAAUUAAAAGAAAGUUCAGUUUUUUAUAUUGUUAAGUUAAGUUUCUAAAUUUUAGUUAACUUCAAUUAAGCUCACUCCUUGUUUAUGUUCAGUUCAAUAAAACAAAAAAUGGAAGGUCAGAUAUGGCACCAAGAUAAGUUAGAAAAAAUGGUUUCAACAUAAUGCAAUUUGGGGGAAUGACAGCGCCCAGGCAAUUCACAGCCGCCACCCUAGUCUGUUCACCACCGCCAACCGAGGCCGUUCAACGACGCGCCGGGCAAAGCGGCAGGAGGGCGAGGAUCUCUUCAUCUCGGCAGUACAACUGCACCCUCCGGCGUCGUUCACGAGAAGAGCUACGUGCAGGCCACCCGUGCUCCACCCUGGAUUUCUUCAAUAAUCAGGCCGUCGUCGUCAGGGUUCCUGCCCCACGGCAGUCGUACUGGCUCAUGCGCCACUGUCGUCGGUCCUUUUUCGGUUGGAGAUAGGUAGCGCCCCCAGGGAGCCCCUUCUUCAAUGGUUCAUUGGUCUGUCAAGUAUGAAGGUGAGCUUCAUAAUAGAGUAGCUAGACCUAUCCGCCUUCCAUUUUACAAAUUUUGCUGGGAGCUAGAAGUAACUAUAUGUAGAAAGUUGGCAUCUCUGUUUACAUAAACAUGCAUAACACGUGUGAUGCUACAUAAUUCCUGGGUCCUCCUCCUGUUAUGCACAAGCUCCAAUUCGUCGAGAUACUCUAUGGAGGUACUCCAUUUUAUGUUUUCAAUUCAUCUUACAAAAAAGCAGAACAAACUAUGUGUCAUUUUUGUCAUUCACGCAAGUUCAGGCAUACCUUCUACAAAAGUUCAAAAAUCUGAAGAAACAAAGCUCAAACCAAGUUCAGAAAAUGUUUCUGGAUUAAAUUAGUUGUUUUGGUUAAUUCUGUAGUACAUGUGUGUAUUGUGAUUGUAAUUGUGGCUUGGAGUUGAGAAAAAAAAUAACAAAAAGGUACAUAAAUGAACCCAAAAACAUUCGGUAGUUUCUGGAAGCCCAAAGUUCAGUUCAACAUGUUUUCUAUCAUCAGCUCGUUAAGAACCCCAGAAACGGUUCAAUGUGUGUGUUAAAAAAAUAGCUGGCUAUAUAAAAAAAUUAGUAGCUAGGCAAAAAGAAGUUUGUAUCAGUUCAGACUUGCCUGCACAGAAGGAUAGAGGCCCUUGUCCCAUACGUUCAGGUUUGCAUCGAUGCUCCAGCCAACUCCAUUAUCUACUCAGUAAAUGCUCCACUGCUAAAUCCAUUUGACGUUUUGUCAGGUUUGGUAACUCCUCUCCCUUUCCCUUUUCAUGUAAUGCAUUUAGGACAAGUUCAAGUAUAGGUAAAGAAUAUUCUCACCACAUGAAUAUUGAUCUAGAGCUCUUCAGUUUGACAGUUUUUCAGUUCGUGUGGAGCUUGUCAGUUCGACAAUUUUUCAUUUUGUGUGGAGCUAGUCAUUGUUUUAGGUUGCGUCUGGCUGUACCAAAUGCUUGCACUUCUCUGAACUGAGAGUACGCUUGAGUUUCCUAUUCCUUCUAAUCUUAAUAGGUUAUCUUGAUAGGAGUCUAGUGUUAGUUACUAAAUUCUAGUCAGAGUAGUGUAAUCAAGGGAAUGUGGAUAACUUGUGUCCAGGUAUCACUUGCACAAUUGCGUUGUUGUGCUGCACACUUGUACUCACAUAUUAUUAUGCUGCGAUACUAGUUCUAAACAAUUUGUUAUGUAUGUCACAUGCAGGUUUCUCCCCAUUCUUCUCGUCUUCAUACUAUGCCUUUCAUACCUUUAUAUAUAAAAAAGCUCAGUCUGAAACUACGGAUUUGCCCAGAGCCUUGACCUAGGACAUUCUGAAUAAAACUUCAAAGAAGUCUGAAAUGCACUGUAGUAUAUAAAGCCUUGUUCAUCAUUCAUUCUGAUACUAGAAUCUAGAGUAAUAAAUCAAGUUUGUAAUAUGUAGGCGCAAGAACAUGACUCCCUACUUGAAAUGAGUACUCUUUUGUUUCAGCUAAUACUUCUUACUCUGAAUUCCAAAAGUGGAUACACUUAAGUACAGCUUAGUAGACUACUAGUAGUACAUCAGUAUGUAAGGCGAUGUAAUUACCAGAACCUCAAUGAUUAUAGUAUUUGGGAUGCUCAUCAUUUUUCACAUCCAUCUCUACUAAAUUAUGUUAGUCUUUUUCAGUUCAUCUUUGAAAUUUCGAUCCAUUUUCUUUUUGCAGGAUGCGUCAAAUACUGAAAUAAAAGGCAGCAGCUCAAAUAGAUGAAUAUUGGAAGUCCAUUGCUAUCUUGAGGCCCACAUAGCCGGCAUUUUCAGUUCAUCUUGCAAGUGAUGGGGCUCCCCUUCAGUUCAUCCGGCAGGUGUUUUGGGCAGUACAAAAUACAUCACCAUAGUUAGUACAUCAAGGAUGGCUUGGUAGUCGCUGGGAUUCCCUGCAGUGGCCAAAUUGCCUCCAUCAGCUCCACCUCGCCGUAGCAAUCAGUCCAUAGGAGGAGGUGUAGCUGGUCCACCCGGUCCACCCAAUUUUUCUUUCAACAUUUUCUUUGUGAUGCAUGCUCACUGAUGGAUCAAUAACUAUUUAUUGAUAUGGAGAUGCGCCCUUGUUUUUUUUUCCUGGAAAAACAAGAUGCCUUUGCAUACUUCAAAGUUGCUGCUUGCUCCCACCAGUCAAUUGUGCAAGUUCAGUGGGUGUCGUCGAGCAUGUUCAGAAGUAUGCCCUUUGUGCAAAAGUGUGAAUUUUUUUCAGUAUUUUGUUUAUUUCAUUUGGCAGAGGCUUCAUGUGAUCUUGUGGAGCUUUAUAGAUGUACUGUCAUUACACUUUUAAGGCCCUAUAGUUCAUUAUAUCAUACAUGUGUGGCCAUUCAGUGUAAUAUGUAUUACAGGAUCAGUUCUUGAAAAAGAAG